AGUGAGCGCUUUUCCGCUCGCGUCCUGGGCUUAGCGAGCGCAGGGAGCCCCUCGCCGCCAGCACGGAGUUAAGGCUGCGAAGAACGUCGGUGCUUGGUCGUGUUUCAGGAGUUCAGCGUGGAAUCUAUUCGAAAUGGCGGAUGCUGGCUUCUUUCGCGGUACAUCUGCAGAACAAGAUAACCGCUUUAGUAACAAAGACAAAAAGUUAAUGAAAGAGAUGAAGUUCUCUGAAAGUCUUACAAAAAAGGUUGAUAUGUUCUAAAAGUACGUUUAGAAGUCAUCAAGCCAUGGGUCACAGAGAAGAUCACAACUAUAUUAGGUAUUGAAGAUGAUGUCGUCAUUGAAUAUGUCUUCAAUCAGCUAGAAGCAGAAAAGCAAGUUAUGCCAAAGGGGGUCUUGGUCCCUGGUGAUGGAGGGCCCCGGCCAGCAACCUGCCCCAGGCUCCCUGUAGGGUAGGAGCCCGACUGCACCUGACUGGCCCAUCUUACAGGGCUGGCCAUCACUACAUGUCGGGUCUUCCCUCAGGGGCCUGAGGCUUAUUGGCCAAGGCACUUGGCGGGGAUGGAUGCCUCGCUACCCUAUGGAUAACACUCAGGCAUACUGCCUGGGGAACUCUGGGCACAGCCUGGAACCACGACGAGGGAUACGUGCCUGGAUGACCCUAGGUGUAAUGAGCCUGGGGUGUCUAGGCAUUUACACCACCUUCAUUCUUCAGCCACCUUAGCUGCCCUGGGCUAAAGAAAGCCUGGGGCAGUCUCGGGAUUUCCAUUGAAAACUAUUUCAAUGGCCUGGAUGGAUCUGGGCCUCUUCCGGGUUUUUCUCCCCGGGGUUCGCCAUGCUGGAGGGUUCCGAGGUCACC